rnacentral:rRNA from 1 species
GAUGAACGCUGGCGGCGUGCUUAGCACAUGCAAGUCGAGCGAGAGGAGAAAGCUUGCUUUCAAAUCUAGCGGCGGACGGGUGCGUAACGCGUGGGUAAUCUGCCCUUGUCAUUGGGAUAACUCAUCGAAAGGUGGGCUAAUACCAAAUAAUAUGUUUUGUAGGCAUCUACGAAACAUCAAAGCUUUUGCGGACAAGGAUGAGCCCGCGUCUGAUUAGCUUGUUGGUGGGGUAACGGCCUACCAAGGCGACGAUCAGUAGCCGACCUGAGAGGGUGAUCGGCCACACUGGAACUGAGACACGGUCCAGACUCCUACGGGAGGCAGCAGUGAGGAAUAUUGCACAAUGGGCGAAAGCCUGAUGCAGCAACGCCGCGUGAGCGAUGAAGGCCUUCGGGUCGUAAAGCUCUGUCCUCAAGGAAGAAUUUUGACGGUACUUGAGGAGGAAGCCCCGGCUAACUACGUG